rnacentral:rRNA from 1 species
GCCCUUGUGCCAAGCAGCCGCGGUAAUUCCAGCUCCAAUAGCGUAUAUUAAAGUUGUUGCGGUAAAAAAGCUCGUAGUUGGAUUUCUGUUGAAGACGUCCGGUCCAUACCACGUAUGCGCAUCUGGCUCGGCUUCGGCAUCCUCUCGAAAGACGUUUCUGCGCUUGAUUGCGUGGAGCGGAUCUCGGGACUUUUACUUUGAGGAAAUUAGAGUGUUCACGGCAGGCUAUCGCCAGAAUACAUUAGCAUGGAAUAAUACUAUAGGAUCUCGGUUCUAUUUUGUUGGUUUCUAGAAUUGAGAUAAUGAUUAAUAGGGACAAUUGGGGGCAUUCGUAUCAACACGUUAGAGGUGAAAUUCUUGGAUCGUGUUGCGACGAACUACUGCGAAAGCAUUUGCCAAGGGUGUUUUCAUUGAUCAAGAACGAAAGUAAGGGGAUCGAAGACGAUUAGAUACCGUCGUAGUCUUUACCAUAAACUAUGCCAACUAGAGAUGGGACAUCGUUCACUUAAGACUUGUUCCGCACCUUAUGAGAUAUCAAAGUCUUUGGGUUCCGGGGGGAGUAUGGUCGCAAGUCUGAAACUUAAAGGAAUUGACGGAAGGGCACCACCAGGAGUGGAGCCUGCGGCUUAAUUUGACUCAACACGGGGAAACUCACCAGGUCCAGACAUAAUAAGGAUUGACAGAUUGAUAGCUCUUUCUUGAUUUUAUGGGUGGUGGUGCAUGGCCGUUCUUAGUUCGUGGAGUGAUUUGUCUGCUUAAUUGCGUUAACGAACGAGACCUUAACCUGCUAAAUAGGAGCGCCUAUCUCCGGAUAAGCGCCUUUCUUCUUAGAGGGACUUUAUGCGUUUCAGCAUGAGGAAGUUUGAGGCUAAAACAGGUCUGUGAUGCCCAAGGG